rnacentral:rRNA from 1 species
AUACGUAGGUGGCAAGCGUUGUCCGGAUUUACUGGGUGUAAAGGGCGCGUAGGCGGGAUGGCAAGUCAGAUGUGAAAUCUCCGGGCUCAACCCGGAAACUGCAUUUGAAACUGUCGUUCUUGAGUAUCGGAGAGGCAAGCGGAAUUCCUAGUGUAGCGGUGAAAUGCGUAGAUAUUAGGAGGAACACCAGUGGCGAAGGCGGCUUGCUGGACGACAACUGACGCUGAGGCACGAAAGCGUGGGGAUCAAACAGGAUUAGAUACCCUGGUAGUCCACGCAGUAAACGAUGAUGGCUAACCGCUGGGCUUAUCAGUUCAGUGGCCAAGCGAAAGCGAUAAGCCAUCCACCUGGGGAGUACGACCGCAAGGUUGAAACUCAAAGGAAUUGGCGGGG